AUUGAACGCUGGCGGCAUGCUUUACACAUGCAAGUCGAACGGUAACAGGCCGCAAGGUGCUGACGAGUGGCGAACGGGUGAGUAAUGCAUCGGAACGUGCCCAGUCGUGGGGGAUAACGCAGCGAAAGCUGCGCUAAUACCGCAUACGAUCUAUGGAUGAAAGCGGGGGACCGUAAGGCCUCGCGCGAUUGGAGCGGCCGAGUUCAGUUUAGGUAGGUGGUGGGGUAAAGGCUCACCAAGCCAACGAUCUGUAGCUGGUCUGAGAGGACGACCAGCCACACUGAGACUGAGACACGGCCCAGACUCCUACGGGAGGCAGCAGUGGGGAAUUUUGGACAAUGGGCGCAAGCCUGAUCCAGCAAUGCCGCGUGCAGGAAGAAGGCCUUCGGGUUGUAAACUGCUUUUGUACGGAACGAAACGGUCCUGGUUAAUACCUGGGGCUAAUGACGGUACCGUAAGAAUAAGCACCGGCUAACUACGUGCCAGCCGCCGCGGUAAAAC
rnacentral:rRNA from 1 species